UACCAGCUCUCCGAGUGGUAGGGAUGAUUAUUGGGCUUAAAGCGUCCGUAGCUGGCUUGGCAAGUUUCCUGUUAAACUCUGCGACUUAAUCGUUGAAUCGCGGGAAAUACUACUAGGCUAGGAGGCGGGAGAGGUCAACGGUACUUCUGGGGUAGGGGUGAAAUCCUAUAAUCCCGGGAGGACCACCAGUGGCGAAGGCUGUUGACUAGAACGCGCUCGACGGUGAGGGACGAAAGCUGGGGGAGCGAACCGGAUUAGAUACCCGGGUAGUCCCAGCUGUAAACGAUGCGGGCUAGGUGUUGGGAUGGCUACGUGCCAUUUCAGUGCCGCAGGGAAGCCAUUAAGCCCGCCGCCUGGGGAGUACGGCCGCAAGGCUGAAACUUAAAGGAAUUGGCGGGGAGCACCACAAGGCGUGAAGCUUGCGGUUC
rnacentral:rRNA from 1 species